GCUCAGCUGGGAUAGCUCAAUUGGUAGAGCAUGAGAAUAUUAAUAUUAAGCUCAUGGGUUCAAUCCCCACAUUGGACA